CCUACGGGACGCAGCAGUAGGGAAUCUUCGGCAAUGGACGAAAGUCUGACCGAGCAACGCCGCGUGAGUGAAGAAGGUUUUCGGAUCGUAAAACUCUGUUGUCAGAGAAGAACAAGGACGUUAGUAACUGAACGUCCCCUGACGGUAUCUAACCAGAAAGCCACGGCUAACUACGUGCCAGCAGCCGCGGUAAUACGUAGGUGGCAAGCGUUGUCCGGAUUUAUUGGGCGUAAAGCGAGCGCAGGCGGUUUCUUAAGUCUGAUGUGAAAGCCCCCGGCUCAACCGGGGAGGGUCAUUGGAAACUGGGAGACUUGAGUGCAGAAGAGGAGAGUGGAAUUCCAUGUGUAGCGGUGAAAUGCGUAGAUAUAUGGAGGAGCACCAGUGGCGAAGGCGGCUCUCUGGUCUGUAACUGACGCUGAGGCUCGAAAGCGUGGGGAGCAAACAGGAUUAGAUACCCGGGUAGUC
rnacentral:rRNA from 1 species